rnacentral:lncRNA from 1 species
GGGCAUUUAUAUUAUCAUUCAUAUUUUAUGUAUCCAUGAAUCAUCCAAGAGAUUAACAAGAUGAUGACACAUAUUCUCAAAGAGUUGAGAAUUUGAGACAUGUAUCAUUGAUAAUUAAUUUUUAAAUUAUUUCUGAUCAUAGGAUCAUCAUGGAGAUGGUGAUUGAUCUGGAUAGAUCAGUGCAUGGAUCGCUUCCUUCGGAUAGAUGGGUCUUAAGUCUGUGGUGUAGUGACACUCGAGCGAGAGUGCAGGUGAUUGUUAGAGAACAACUAGUACUGAGCGUGACCAACACAAGAAGUCAUAUGGAUGUUUGCUCACUCGUUAGUGACUUUCUCGAUGCUAUAGUUGUAUAACUGAUCUUUUGACUUGCGGUGCUACAGCUGCUCGUAGAGAGGCUGCUGGAAUUUGACUAACACAUAAACAUGAAUCUCAAUGAGCCCUUAUAGUGGAUAUUGAUGACAGUUGAUCUACUAUAGGAGUAGGGUGUAUACCUAGAUGGGAUCUAUCGAUCCUAGCAGAAGGGAGUAGCCCUAUGAGAUUUAAGAAGCUGAGUCUUUAAGUCUAUGGCCAUAGUAGUAUGAUUAAUGAAAAAGAGUUUCCAUAAAAAUCACACAAUAGACUCGAGCUGAUUGAAUCUAUUAUAUGACUGAUGAUGAGGUUUGACGAUUCAUCCAUGGCCUGUCAUCUGAUCGAAACUCACGAUACGGAGACUAUAUCAUACGUUUACUGCACCUAGAGGUUCAUCAUCUUUUAUUCUGCUGGAUUGUCACAACAUACUAUUAGAUGUCACU